rnacentral:rRNA from 1 species
GACGAACGCUGUCGGCGUGCUUAACACAUGCAAGUCGAACGGAAAGGCCCUGCUUUUGUGGGGUGCUCGAGUGGCGAACGGGUGAGUAACACGUGAGUAACCUGCCCUUGACUUUGGGAUAACUUCAGGAAACUGGGGCUAAUACCGGAUAGGAGCUCCUGCUGCAUGGUGGGGGUUGGAAAGUUUCGGCGGUUGGGGAUGGACUCGCGGCUUAUCAGCUUGUUGGUGGGGUAGUGGCUUACCAAGGCUUUGACGGGUAGCCGGCCUGAGAGGGUGACCGGCCACAUUGGGACUGAGAUACGGCCCAGACUCCUACGGGAGGCAGCAGUGGGGAAUAUUGCACAAUGGGCGGAAGCCUGAUGCAGCAACGCCGCGUGCGGGAUGACGGCCUUCGGGUUGUAAACCGCUUUCGCCUGUGACGAAGCGUGAGUGACGGUAAUGGGUAAAGAAGCACCGGCUAACUACGUGCCAGCAGCCGCGGUGAUACGUAGGGUGCGAGCGUUGUCCGGAUUUAUUGGGCGUAAAGGGCUCGUAGGUGGUUGAUCGCGUCGGAAGUGUAAUCUUGGGGCUUAACCCUGAGCGUGCUUUCGAUACGGGUUGACUUGAGGAAGGUAGGGGAGAAUGGAAUUCCUGGUGGAGCGGUGGAAUGCGCAGAUAUCAGGAGGAACACCAGUGGCGAAGGCGGUUCUCUGGGCCUUUCCUGACGCUGAGGAGCGAAAGCGUGGGGAGCGAACAGGCUUAGAUACCCUGGUAGUCCACGCUGUAAACGGUGGGUACUAGGUGUGGGGUCCAUUCCACGGGUUCCGUGCCGUAGCUAACGCUUUAAGUACCCCGCCUGGGGAGUACGGCCGCAAGGCUAAAACUCAAAGGAAUUGACGGGGCCCCGCACAAGCGGCGGAGCAUGCGGAUUAAUUCGAUGCAACGCGUAGAACCUUACCUGGGUUUGACAUGGAUCGGGAGUGCUCAGAGAUGGGUGUGCCUCUUUUGGGGUCGGUUCACAGGUGGUGCAUGCCUGUCGUCAGCUCGUGUCGUGAGAUGUUGGGUUAAGUCCCGCAACGAGCGCAACCCUUGUUCACUGUUGCCAGCACGUUAUGGUGGGGACUCAGUGGAGACCGCCGGGGUCAACUCGGAGGAAGGUGGGGAUGACGCCAAGUCAUCAUGCCCCUUAUGUCCAGGGCUUCACGCAUGCUACAAUGGCUGGUACAGAGAGUGGCGAGCCUGUGAGGGUGAGCGAAUCUCGGAAAGCCGGUCUCAGUUCGGAUUGGGGUCUGCAACUCGACCUCAUGAAGUCGGAGUCGCUAGUAAUCGCAGAUCAGCAACGCUGCGGUGAAUACGUUCCCGGGACU